GUGCCGUCCGUCUGGUCUGUCUCUCUCUGUUUUCGCAUCUCAACCUCUCCUCUCACAGCCUUGAGCCACCCGUCUCCCUCCGCUUUCCCCUCUUCCUCUCAGCUCGAAGCUUGUCCGCUCUCCUCUCAAAUCUCAUAUGCUAAACUCGAUUCGUUUCAAAUCUCAUAUGCUAAACUCGAUUUGGGCAGGAACGACCUCAAGCUCAUAGCAAUUUCGAUUUGUGCUAUGAGAAUGUGUACUCUACCUUUCCUCUUCAGGUCCAUCGAACUGACAUCACACCAUGGUGGAUUCAAGAUAUUUGGCAGCAGCUCGUAGAUGCUGUUCAGCAUGAAGGGGUCCCAAAGAAUGAACUGAAAGGCGGAGGCACAAAAGCAUUUCCAUGUGGAUAGUAGCCCGGAUAGUAACCUGCCAUCUGAAUUUGAUUUUGGUACGUGCUAGUCCCUAAAUGCCCCUGUACCAAAGAAAAAGGAAUACG